UUUCAUUUUCCUCAAGUUCUACCAUCCCCUCUGCUCUGCAUGGACUUCCUACUCACUGAAGAAGGGUCAGAGGGAGUACCCAGACUUCUCAAAGUUCCACCUUAUGUAGUACUAUGAGCUCCCCAGAAACACCCCAAUCUUUCAUUAUGUGUGACCUGAUCCCCGAUCUUGAGUUGUCUUGAUGGUUCUGGACUCUGUAAGACCCCGCGCUCAUGUGUGCCCUUGGGUUGAAAUGAGGGUAGUCAGUCAUAGUGCUCCUGAGAAGACAGACAAUGAGGCAGGGCAACCUGUUUCUCUCACUCACUAGUGUUUUUGGAAACUCUUCCCAGCAUUCUUCCCUGUCCCCAGGACUCCUUUGGCUUCAGAGAGCUCAUUCCUCAGGAAUUUUGGCCAAGGGACACCCUCACAUGCCUCAAGGGAACCGCCUUCCUGACCCAGAAUCUUUCAGCUUUUUUUCCAUCUUGAAGUCAUAAACUGUUCAUUUUCUCUUUCCUGGAACUGUUUAUACUGCCCAGAAUGCACACAGAGAGGUUAAGUUUCACUUCUGUUUCCUGAAAAUGUCUACCCACCAGCCAGCUCCGCCUAUCGACAGAGACAGCUGCAGAACAUUCCUCAGAACGCUCCUCUCUGUACCCUGGGCUCAUUGCUCCACUCUCCACAGAGGCCCCACCCUCCCCACCUCUGCUCUCCCGGUCUCUGCUCUCCUUGAUACUUUCCUCAAGGAGCACAGCUCUGUGCAGCUUUUGGUGACUGUGCUCUGGGCUGCAGUGAGCAGCAGACUCAGGGCUUUCUAUUUUCGUGGAAGCUCUGGCCCUGGUUAUUUACAGCAGAAACUCUUUGGAGCUGGUCAUAAAGGAAGCUAGGAACUGAAUGAAGAUGAAUUACAUGCUAUCAAAAUGCACAGGCCACAGCUGAACUUGACCUGGUGGAAAUGUGUAGCUCUAAAUACCCAUGCUAACAAUACCAGAGAGCGUACACUUGGUAGCUACUCAGCUCCACACGUUGAAAUCACCAGAUGAAUAGGAUGCAGAGGCUUCAGGGUAUGAAGUGAGGACCCAAGGAUUGUCCUGCCCAGGUCACUUUUUAUAUGAGUCUCCAGCUCUGUAGGCAUCCAAUUGCUGCCAGUUUGUGCUCAAGAGUGUUAGACAUUGGACAUGGGUCUUACAAAUGCUGAGCAGAUGCUCUACCCCAGGUCUGACAUCACCUCCAUUUAAUAGAUGAGACCAUAGAUGCUCAGAGAGACUGUGAAACCUGUCAAGACCAAUAGAAUCAUCUAGACUCUGCUCUUCUCUUUUAACCUAGCCUAGAUCUACGUCUCAAGGCUAAGCUCAAAUCUCUAUGAAAAUGUUUCUGGUUGUUUUAUGGAUAACAAACGCUCAUAUUUCAGCAAUAAUAGUAAAGAAAACCUAAGCAGAACAAUGUCUAAUAUCACCUCUUAAAAUAAAAGCUAACCUGGA